CAUCCUGUAUCUUCCCAAUUUUAUGCAGGGUGAGUUGAUAGUGUACAUUAGAAAUUGGGUGGCGCUCAACCAUAUCGCACGGAGAUUGUCUUGCCCAGAACGAACUUCACUGCUUUGAACCUUCUCUUGCUUCCAUAUUUAAAAACACUGAGUUUAGCUGGCCGUUUAUGCGGCGGGUUUUGUUGAAAGCAGCGCCAAGCCAGACCCACUAUUAUAACUUAGCUUCACAUUUUACAGAGGAGGUAAUAAGAUUAUGCGAAGAAAAUGACAUUGGAUUCGUCUGCCUCCCAAAAAAUGCGACCCAUCUUUGUCAACCAUUAGAUGUGGGUUUUUUAGACCGUUUAAAAUGGCCUGGAGAGAAGUUCUCGUGGACUGGAAGAAAACAUAUCCCACUCAUUCAUCGAUUGACAAAAAAAGAUUUUCCGCAAUUGCUCCAAACGAUUUUGUUGCGGAUGGACAAUAAAGAUAAAAUAAAAAAGAGGACAUUCUCUUACUAGAGCGAAAGUGUUAGGUGGAAUGAGGAACACGGUUAUAUAUCGUUACGUUGUAGUAGUGCAGAAUGUUCAAGAAAAUGAGUUUGAGGUCUUAAGAAUGAAAAGCGUAGACAGAAAAAAAGACUGUAUUUAAACCAGAAGAAGGAGACGAAUUCUUGAUCGGAUUUGACGAUAUUAUGGCAAUAUUACCUGAACCUGGUGUUGAGACCACCGAAACCUACGUUAGAUAUAACUUUGAAAAGCAAAUACACAUUAAGGAAAUGUGGUUGUAUGUAUUUUUAGGUAUUAUUGUAAACUUGUUUCAUUUGAUUCAAAUAUGUAUCCACCAAUACAAUUGUUUCAUUUGUUUUGUUUUUUUUUGAGAUUAUCAUUUAUUUGGGAUGUAUUUUUAAGUUCUUAAUAAAUAAUGUUAAAAUCCUGUUUGAAAUAAAAAAAAAACUAUAGUCUAUUAUAGUGAACAAAUCCACCCUGGGUGAUCAAUCCCACUCCAAAAUGAAUAUUUUUAGAUAACUUUCGAACCAAUCGAUGAACUUUCAUCAGGGUUAGAUUGAUCACUAUAUUAGCUUUAGAGGUAUGAAACUACAGUAACGGUUAAGUGGUGAUCAAAGUCGCCCCACUCAUAGUAUAAAAUUAAUCAUGCCAUUUUUUAAAUUUUUAGAGAAAAACAGCAAUUCUGAUACGGUUUUUGGCAGAAAAACUUGUUGCCCAACCAACGCGGAUCUUAAAUGAGUAAUACACAUCAUUAGAAACAUUUGCAAUAAGAAAAUAUAGACAAUAAUAAAAAAUGUAUUAUUAAUUUCACUCCGAUUCAUUGCACCAAAAAAUUGACGGAUUGAAAUAUUUCUCAUUUAAGUGCGAUGGAGUUGACCCUCCUCAAGGCUAUGAUAACUCACUAUUCAACGCACGGUUUGAACAUCUUUCUUUGGAAGUUCGAAGAUUAGCUCUCGGACUGACCUUUCUACACAAUAUAGUCUCGAUUAUUGUGGUGGAAAGUCAAGUUAAUAACUUCUACGACUAAAAGUUACUGGGCCAAAGUUGUAGAGAAUUUUAUUCUUAUUAAAAAUACAUUUUCAAAUAUCAACCUUCUCCCAUUUAAUUCAGAUACCUACCCAUUGUUGAGUCGAGAAAACGGAUACUUUGUACGAUAGAUCUUCCAUGUUGUGUAAGAUGUAAAGGUGUUGUCUUUAAUAACACGGUUGCCAUCACUUAAUCUGUGACAAACGUGUGCCUCUACUCCCAACAAAAAUUGAAGCGAUACUAUUCUACCAGUGCCCUUGUGGUAAAUUUGGAUAUCCCUUUAAAUUAUUUAUAUGCAUAAAUUCCACAAGCUUGCUUUUUGCCGUUUGCCGCGUUGUAGUAAGCCGCGUUAUAGUGAAGUUGAACGCUUGUUCGCUUACCGUUCUUUUAGUUUGCCGCGUUAUUGGUUUAUCGCGUUGUAGCUUAAAAUUCAAGUCUUUGAAGUCAAGAGGAAGUUACUAUUCUCCAAAUUAUAUAUUACACUCAAGCCUCAAAUAGACUACCUUCAUACACUAUUUUAACCAUAUUUCUUUAUGAAUCCUACAGGGUGGACAAUUUCGUUUACUGUAGACAAAUCCUGAAACAC